AGCUACGCGUAUAUUAUUCUGACGAUUCGUGACGUAGAGUUACACAAAGUAGGUAUAGAUGUGUAUAAUCUCGAAGUUUUUGCACUAUGUCGUGUAAAAUAAAAGGUACCUACUAGUUAUAGAGGGUAGAUAGAUAUGUGUCUAGUAUGUUGUUUAAAAAUAUUUAAAUAUUAAUUACCAGUGAUAUGUUUUAUCUAAAUAGUUAACCUACCUAUUUUUAUCUUAUCUAUAAAUAAAUAAUAAAUGAGUUUUCUAAGCUGUUAUCUACUAUAAUAAAGUCGUUCAGAUAAUUGUUUUUAAAUCGAAAUUUAUACAUUUAUUAAAAAUAAUAGGUAAAACAUUUAAUUUAUACAAUUUAUGUAAUUUAAUUUAUGCACUAAUAGGGUUAACCAAAUAAAUAGCUAAGUUAAAUAAGUCAUGGAAUGUGUAUACGAAAGAUGUGCGUGUACCAAACUUGGGAAACUUUUACUUCGUUUAGCAUUUUGUUUUAUGA